ensembl:lncRNA
AACACAGGUGGUUGUGUUCUAGCUGGUUGAGGGGUGAUGAGGUAUGACCCACAGCUGAACAGGGCAAACCAGGCAAUCUGUGGAGGGAGGCUGAGCUCAUUGGCUUGAGGUGUAAUGUCACAAACUGUGAGAUUGAGGCUCCUAUGGAACCCAAGGGAAGAAGUGAUGCUCUGGUGCUUUCUGGUGUAUAUCUACUGAUGCUAGGAAAAACUUGCUUCAGUGGUAUCUGCAGAUCAUGCUGGGAAGCGUCACUGCUUUGGGCGCUGAGCUGCUGGUAGAGGCAAAACUUGUGGAAAAUGCAGAUCCUUCCUUUAGCAAGAAAUAAACCACAGCACCAGCUCAGACCCAUCUGCAGCCCAUGGAGAAAGAUACUGCCCUCCUCAAUGCAUUUAAUCUUAGCAUCUCUCCAGCAUCAGAAAAGGGUCUUGCUGUGAAUUCCUGUUUGCUGUGGUAAAAUCAGCAUUGAUGGGGACUCACUGUUUCAGUACAGAACUCUACUUCUGUCUCUCCCCCACUGGUUUAUGUCGAAAACAUAAGAAAAAAUAUGAUGGAUGCAUGCUGUGCAGAACACAGAACAUAGCAAUGAGCCCACUCUUGCAGAGUACCUUGAGAAGGUUUCUCCUGCAAUUGUUUUGUAUGCAUGUACUGCAUGUAUUAAUGUACCUCCUUCCUCUCUAUCUCUGUAUUCUUUUUU